GCGCCAAUGGUUCAGUGGUAGAAUACGCGCUUCCCAUUCAAGGACGCUGCGCGUGACCGGGGUCCGAUUCCCCGUUGGCGCA
rnacentral:tRNA from 2 species